GGUGGAUUUUUAGCCCUGGUGGGUAGCUUCCCGGAAACGAAAGUCUUCCGGUUCCGGGGGAAGUAUGGUUGCAAAGCUGAAACUUAAAGGAAUUGACGGAAGGGCACCACCAGGAGUGGAGCCUGCGGCUUAAUUUGACUCAACACGGGGAAACUCACCCGGCCCGGACACCGUAAGGAUUGACAGAUUGAUAGCUCUUUCAUGAUUCGGUGGUUGGUGGUGCAUGGCCGUUCUUAGUUCGUGGAUCGAUUUGUCUGGUUUAUUCCGAUAACGAGCGAGACUCUAGCCUACUAAAUAGUAACGAGAUUAUCAAUGUCUCAGUUGCUUCUUAGAGGGAUUUUCGGUGUUUAGCCGCACGAGAUUGAGCAAUAACAGGUCUGUGAUGCCCUUAGAUGUCCGGGGCUGCACGCGCGCUACACUGGCGAAAUCAGCGUGCUGUAUCCAUUCUCGAAAGGGAUUGGUAAACCCAUGAAAAUUUGCCGUGCUUGGGAUCGGAAAUUGCAAUUAUUUUCCGUGAACGAGGAAUUCCAAGUAAGUGCGAGUCAUCAACUCGCUCUGAUUACGUCC
rnacentral:rRNA from 1 species